rnacentral:lncRNA from 1 species
UCUAGGUCACGUGUUUGAACCUUUGGGUGUGUGUUUUUGAGAAAUAUUUUUAUUUUGUUAAGUAAUAAACUUGUUUGAAGUUUUAAAAAAUAAUUAUUAGUUUUAUUUUAUUAUUAUUUUUGUUUUGAACUACUUUCUUUUCACGUUCCCCUCUCCCUUUUCAUCUCUUUGUUUCUUUUUGUUUUUUUCUUUUUUCCUUUUCGAAAAAAAAACAGUUUUGCUUGUGGAUUUUGGAAAGCUUC